UCUUUCUCCCCCUCCCCUUCCCUUCUUUCUGUCUCUAUCUCUACCUCUGUCUUUCUCUUUCUCUGGCUCUCUCUCUCUUUAUGAUGCUGUCUUUCUCUGUCUCUCUGUCUUUGUCUCUUUCUGCUCUUCCAAGUCUUUCUUUCUCUUUCUGUCUCUUUUCUUUUAUUUCUUGUCUCCUUCUACCCCAUCUCUGUUUUUCUCUCAUUAUCUCUGCCUCUCUGUUUUUCUGUUUCCUUCCUCCUUCUCCUCCUUUUCCUCCCUUUGCUUCUUUCCUAACCACUGGCUUUGGAUCUCUUCUUCAGAUGACAACUUCUGUUCCCCCCAUUGUUCUCUUCUUCAUCCUCCUGAGCCUGCCUUGGCUCCCAGAGGCUGCCCCAGGACAUCGGGUAAGAGAGUCCCUGUUGUAGCCCCAUCCUUGCCUUCAGCCCUGGUGCUAGUCCUUCCCCAAGCCCUUCUUCUGCCCCUAUUACUGCCCAUGGUCUUGGUCCUUUCCGGAUUCCUGACCUUUUUUACCCCUUUGAUUCCUCUCUCAUCCCAGUUUCUGUCUCAUCACUUCCCCAGUUCCUGCUCCUGCCUUGUUCCUGCCCUUGUCCCUGCUCCUUGUCCCAUGAUGCUUGAAUUUCAGCAGUGGUUUGGGAGCUAGCAAAUUUGGGUUCAGAUUCAGCCUGUCCUUGGUGGUUCUUUGCCAAUCCCAGUGUCUCGUUUUCUCUAGUAGAAGAAUAGAUGCUUAGACAAAACUAAAUCUCUUUCCCCUCCUAUCACUUAUAAUCGGUAAAUUCUGGGAAAAUGAUAGUUGGAAAGUGGGGAAUGGGCAAACUGUCCAAGCUCCCCAUUUGUGUGUCUUUUGGGUGGGACAAAUUUGAAAAGAAGGGGAGGACCCCCGACCCCUUCCUACAUUGUAGAUGAAAAGGCCAUGAUUGAGAGCUUGACAGGCAACCUCUCUGAUGGGUUCUUUGGGAGUCUGACUUUGUUUCCCUAUCUCUUGUCUGGAUUCAGAUACAUGGAGGGUGGACACUAAACAGCGCUGGCUACUUGCUGGGUCAGGGUAGGUACCUUCUUAUACAGGGGCCUCCUGCUGCCUCCAGCCCCUGCCAGUCCCCAGAUCUCUGCUAUAAUGGAUUUUCUUUUUUUUUCUUUCUAAUUUCUUUUAUUUUUGAUUUAUGGAGUAAAACAAACAUUUUCAUAACAUAAUACAGUUUUUAAAAAUGUUUGUACAUGAAAGUGACAAUCUAUUAUGCACAACUUGCUAUUUCUUUCAACUAUGCAACAAAAUAAUCAUGUAAAUGUUUUCCUCCCUCCCAACCUUGAGAUAGCUAUCAUUAGAUAGAAACAGUCAUAUAUAUAUUUAUGUCUGUGAGAAAUUAUUGUAUUCAUAUUCUAUUUAUCGAUUAUUUCUCUGGAUACAGAUAGCAUUUUUCUUUAGAGUUAAUUUGGGUAUUUCCAUUAGUCAAAAUAACUUAUUUGUCCCAGCUUCUUCUUAGAACAAUACUGCUAUUACCAUGUAUGUUGUUCUCUUCAUUAUUUCGUACAACACUUUCCAUAUUUUUUCAAAAAUCAUUAAGCUCACCACUUUAUAGCACGGUAGUAUUCCACCACAGUCAUAAUCCACAACUUGUUCAGUCGUUCUCCAAUCCUUUUCACAUUCACACUAAAAAGGCAUAAUUGCUACCUAUUAAUUUCCUUCCGUCUUAUUUUGCGCUUCAGGCUCUAUUUUCACCCUCUCCCUGUUACCUUAUCUUCUUCCCUUAUGUUUUUAUUUCUUAUUUUAUCCUUCUUUUAAAAUGCCUCCUUAUCUAUUUACCCCAUCCUCCAGGUCUUAAUCAACAAUGCUACUAAAAGUCCCUCCCAACUGCCCUGCCCCCAGUUUUCUCACCUCUCCAGAUGUUCAGAAGACUUCUAAACCUUUUCAGAUGUAUAUGUUGUUUCCUCCUCAUCCCAGAUGAGAGUAAGGUUCCUACACUCCGGCCCUCCACCCCCACAAGCUUCCUCUGAAUUAAUGCUUCCUUUCAUACCAUGUUUUUUAUCAGAUAAUUCCUCCAUUUAACCUUUUUUUUUAACCAAUUUUUUUUACAAUCACUCAUUAUAUACAACUCAGACUCAACUUUUCUUUCAGACUACCUUAGUUACGAUAAGUUUUAAAAAUACCAUUAGUAUUAGCAAUGACCAACAUUAUAUCACAAGUAAAACAUUUGUCUUUAAUCUAUGCCGUAUAAUUAGUCCUUACUGAUUUUCUUAUAGUUCUUCUGGCUCUUUUAGAUAAAAUUAUCCUUGCGUUCUGGUCAGUAGCUUUUCUGUAAGGAAGAUUUGACAGCAGAUUCUCUGGGCUAAUGCUAUCCUCUUGUCUUGCAAUCCUUCACCUUCCCAGGGGAAAACAUCAGGCACCUUGGAGGGAAGUCCCAGAGUUCCCAGCUCCGGGGGAAGCCGAGGGUGAGUGAGAAGACGCCGUUGCUUUCUUUGACUGCCUCAGUGGGAUGCACUGUGUGAGAGGAAGGUCCCCAGAGGCUCAGCGGAAGAAGAUUUUCAGACUAGCAGGUGGGAUGGAAUGGGAGGCUCUCCCCUGGAGGGCUUAGGCAUAGGCUACCCAAUCACUUGGUAGGUAUGUCAGGAGCUGGACUAGAGACCUCAGAGCUUCCUGCCAGCCCUGAGGUUCUGGGCUCCUGAGACCUCCUCCAGUGGCUCCUGGUCCCUGCCCAUCCCUCCCGCCUCUCAGUCCUGCCAUUCACCUGAUCCCCAGGGCCAGGGCCAGGGCCAGAGCAGGAGAAGUGGUUAGUCACAGCCCAAACCCCGAUUUUCCACGUGUCCUGGGGCAAGCCGUUUUCCUCUACUGGACCCCGGGAGGUCCUGGUGGUGGGGAGGUGGCAGGAAUCGGGAAAACUCUCUGACCACCCGUGGGAUUAUCUCGUAAUCUCGCCCUUUUUGUUCACGGCCAACGAGGUAAUUGUGCAGAACGCAAGGAAUCCUUGCCUUUCACCGACGGUUGUCGACUUCUUGGCCCUGUCCAGGUCCUGUCUGUGACCCAUCAGGUCUUAGUGACGGGGCUUUGCAAACUGUCAAGGGCUGUAAAUGGUGGUGGGGCUGGAGGCCGGUGACUGGCUUUUGUGGGUUAUAAAGGGCUCUAGAGGGAGCCGAGGUGGUCUCUGGAGAGGACCUCAUGGGGCCCGAAGCCCUUUGCAGGGAACCGGGUAGUUCAGAAACAGGAGGGAGGCUGGCAGAAGCUGCAGGCGUGACUGGCUUUGCGGACGGCCCUGGGGCCUCGGAAACUAAAGCGUCGUGUUUCCUUUAGAUGGGCUGUUCCUGUCCCAGCCCGCUGAGGACGCCCCCAGGAGGAGCCUAGGAAGGCCCUAGCCAGAGAUGCCCCAGCUGAGAGCGGGCGUGUGGAGGAACAGGAAAAGCUGCUCAAGGCUCUGGGGAGCCCAGAAGAGGAGCGCCCAUGGGAUCCGCCUUCCCACGCCCCCUCCUUGCUUGGGCUUUUCCCACCCCACCCCCAAUCGCUCGAUGACUCUGGCUCCAUCUCCCCCUCUGCAGCGCCUUCCCUCGUUCCACCACCUUUCGGGCUCCGUCCCCUCCUUUGGUCACCAAUAAAGACGGUACUUCCUGACGCA